UGAUGGAGGAGGGAUGGUGAGCAUGGGCAGGAAGAUGACAUCACAGUCAGCCUGCAGCUGGGAGAAGACCCAUUCUUUCCUCAAAACUGCCAUGGGAGUGAGGCUGCUCUGGGGGGUGGCCCUUUGUUUCCUGGCAGUGGGCCUUGUGGACACAGGAGUAACCCAGACCCCGAGAUUCCUUGUCAAAAGGAUGGGGGAGAAAGCUGUGCUGGAGUGUUUACAGGAUAUGGACUAUGAAAGAAUGUUCUGGUAUCGACAAGACCCGGGCCUGGGGCUACGGCUGAUCUAUUUUUCGUAUGAUGCUGACAAUAAUGACAAAGGAGAUAUCCCUGAGGGGUACAGUGUCUCUCGGAAGAAGAGGGAGAGAUUCUCCCUGAUCCUGGAGUCUGCCAGCUUCACACAGACGGCUCUGUACCUCUGUGCCUGCACCUCCACAGGAUUUCCCUAUGACUAUACCUUCGGCUCGGGAACUAGGCUCACGGUCAUAGAGGACCUGAAGAAGGUGUCCCCACCCAAGGUCACUGUGUUUGAGCCAUCAGAAGCAGAGAUCAACAGGAAAAAAAAGGCCACCCUCGUGUGCCUGGCCACAGACUUCUACCCAGACCACGUGGAGCUGAGCUGGUGGGUGAAUGGAAAGGAGGUGCAAAAUGGGGUCAGCACGGACCCUCAGCCCUCCAGUGCCGCCAAUGACUCCAAAUACUUCCUGAGCAGUCGCCUGAGGGUCUCUGCCACCUUCUGGCUCAACCCUCGCAACCACUUCCGCUGCCAAGUGCAGUUCUAUGGGCUCUCAGAGGAAGACGAGUGGACCGAGGAGGGGCCCAAACCCAUCACCCAGAAUGUCAGUGCUGAGGUCUGGGGCCGAGCAGACUGUGGUGUCACCUCAGUGACCUAUCAGCAAGGGGUGCUGUCUGCCACCAUCCUCUAUGAGAUCCUGCUGGGGAAGGCCACUGUGUAUGCUGUGCUGGUCAGCACCCUGGUGCUGAUGGCCGUGGUCAAGAGAAAGGAUUCCUGAAGCUAUCUCUGGAGGUGCAGCCAGGAACUUUCAACCCAAUAUGGCGCUGCAUGGAUUCUCCUUUUGCCAAUGCUUCUGAAGGGAUGUUAUCCCUCUCCUCACCCCAAUAUCUAUCCCCUAUAGGCAUGCUCACUUGAUCAUUUUUGCUUAAAUUUCCCUAACCCAAAGGAAUCCUAGAAUGCUUAGAUGAUCAAACAAAUAAAAUGUCCUGUUCUGGCCUAA